rnacentral:tRNA from 1 species
GGGCGCGUAGCUCAGUUGGUAGAGCACGGCAUUGAAAAUGCCGGUGUCGGUGGUUCGAGUCCGCCCGCGCCCA